UCCGAGUUGACCCCGGCAGUCUCCUACGAGUCCCCGGCUUUACCCGCUGGCAACAUAGGACAAGGGUUGCGCUCGUUGCGGGACUUAACCCAACAUCUCACGACACGAGCUGACGACAACCAUGCACCACCUGUGUAGAACCCCGAAGGACACCGUAUCUCUGCGAGAUUUCCGGCGAUGUCAAACCCAGGUAAGGUUCUUCGCGUUGCAUCGAAUUAAUCCGCAUGCUCCGCCGCUUGUGCGGGCCCCCGUCAAUUCCUUUGAGUUUUAGCCUUGCGGCCGUACUCCCCAGGCGGGGUGCUUAAUGCGUUAGCUACGGCACCGCAGGAGUCAAAGCCCGCGACACCUAGCACCCAUCGUUUACGGCGUGGACUAC
rnacentral:misc_RNA from 1 species